AGAGGAAGGAGAAGUCGUAACAAGGUUUCCGUAGGUGAACCUGCGGAAGGAUCAUUGUGGAAAUUGAACGGAAGAAUGACCCGUGAAUCGUCGUUGCGUACUGGAGGGAGGGCUCGUGAGCGCCUAAUGCUCAUGCGGCUCGCGUCGUGUCGGCGUGGAUGUACUCGAUACCCGCGUCACAUCGAUGAACAAACAACGUCAGCACGAAUCGUGCCAAGGAGCUGCAUGGAGGGAAUCGUUGUCCCCCGCCUUCGAUUGCCUUCGAUGCGGGACGGGAGGCGGGGGCAUACAUACGCGAUCUCUACUCAAAGUCUAAAUGACUCUCGGCAACGGAUAUCUCGGCUCUUGCAUCGAUGAAGAACGUAGCGAAAUGCGAUACUUGGUGUGAAUUGCAGAAUCCCGUGAACCAUCAAUUCUUUGAACGCAAGUUGCGCCCGAAGCCAUUCGGCCGAGGGCACGCCUGCCUGGGCGUCGUGAAUCCCCUUGCCCCUUGGCACCCGCGUUCGAGCAUGCGCAUCGACGGGGAUAUGCUCGGGCGCAGAGUAUGGUCUCCCGUGGGAUCGGCAUGCACGGCAUGUCGAGGUGCGGUUGGCCGAAAGUCGAGCAUGGCGGUGACGGGCACCACGGCGUUCGGUGGAUCGAAUGAAAUUGGCUGCGCUGUGGGCUCGUCCCGCUGCGGGCUCCGGACUUUGACAAUCCCAAGUGCGAUCCCAGGUCAGGCGGGGCUA
rnacentral:rRNA from 1 species